UACGUAGGGUGCGAGCGUUGUCCGGAAUUAUUGGUCGUAAAGAGCUCGUAGGCGGUCUGUCGCGUCUGCUGUGAAAACCCGAGGCUCAACCUCGGGCCUGCAGUGGGUACGGGCAGACUAGAGUGCGGUAGGGGAGACUGGAAUUCCUGGUGUAGCGGUGAAAUGCGCAGAUAUCAGGAGGAACACCGGUGGCGAAGGCGGGUCUCUGGGCAGUAACUGACGCUGAGGAGCGAAAGCGUGGGGAGCGAACAGG
rnacentral:rRNA from 1 species